GUAUUUAUUUGCUUAUUAUGCAAGGUUACAUUCUGAACUGAAGCGUUUGUUUUAAUACAUAGGCGAGGCAUUCAAAGCCGACCGAAGUCAGCCUAUCCCACCAAGCCUACAAAAAGUGCACAGGGGUUUGAGAGUGGAUGAGCAAGGCGUGCACGUACCUCCUUACGAAGGACAGCUACAACCCGUUUCAAAACUCGAUAAUGAUCCUUCCGCAGGUUCACCUACGGAAA
rnacentral:misc_RNA from 1 species